UACGAAGGGGGCGAGCGUUGUUCGGAUUUACUGGGCGUAAAGGGCGCGCAGGCGGCUCAUUUUGUCAGGCGUGAAAGCCCCGGGCUUAACCUGGGAACUGCGUUUGAUACGGAUGGGCUAGAGUUCGGGAGAGGAGAGUGGAAUUCCCAGUGUAGAGGUGAAAUUCGUAGAUAUUGGGAAGAACACCGGUGGCGAAGGCGACUCUCUGGACCGAGACUGACGCUGAGGCGCGAAAGCGUGGGGAGCAAACAGG
rnacentral:rRNA from 1 species